rnacentral:rRNA from 1 species
GUACGGAGGGGGCUAGCGUUGCUCGGAAUUAGCUGGGCGUAAAGCGCACGUAGGCGGCUUUCUAAAGUCGGGGGUGAAAUCCUGGAGCUCAACUCCAGAACUGCCUUCGAUACUGGAAAGCUCGAGUCCGGGAGAGGUGAGUGGAACUGCGAGUGUAGAGGUGAAAUUCGUAGAUAUUCGCAAGAACACCAGUGGCGAAGGCGGGCUCACUGGCCCGGUACUGACGCUGAGGUGCGAAAGCGUGGGGAGCAAACAGG